CCUACGGGCGGCAGCAGUGAGGAAUAUUGGUCAAUGGGCGCGAGUCUGAACCAGCCAAGCAGCGUGAAGGAUGACUGCCCUACGGGUUGUAAACUUCUUUUAUAAAGGAGUAAAUCCGGGACCGUGUCUUUUUUUGAUAGUAUUUUAGGAUUAAGGAUCGGCUAACUCCUUGCCAGCAACCGCGGUAAUAGGGAUGAUUCAAGCGUUAUCCGGAUUUAUUGGGUUUAAAGGGUGCGUAGGUGGGUUGUUAAGUUAGUGGUUAAAGUUUGCGGCUCAACUGUAACAUUGCAAUUGAUACUGGCAGUCUUGAGUUCAGUUGAGGUAGGCGGAAUUCAUGGUGUAGCGGUGAAAUGCUUAGAUAUCACGAAGAACUCCGAUUGCGAAGGCAGCUUACUAAACUGCCACUGACAUUGAUGCUCGAAAGUGUGGGUAUCAAACAGGAUUAGAUACCCGAGUAGUC
rnacentral:rRNA from 1 species